AGUGAACGCUGGCGGCAGGCCUAAUACAUGCAAGUCGAACGGCAGCACGGCAGAGCUUGCUCUGUGGGUGGCGAGUGGCGGACGGGUGAGGAAUACAUGGGAAUCUGCCCAGUCGUGGGGGAUAACGUAGGGAAACUUACGCUAAUACCGCAUGCGCCCUUCGGGGGAAAGCCGGGGACCUUCGGGCCUGGCGCGAUUGGAUGAGCCCAUGUCGGAUUAGCUAGUUGGCGGGGUAAUGGCCCACCAAGGCGACGAUCCGUAGCUGGUCUGAGAGGAUGAUCAGCCACACUGGAACUGAGACACGGUCCAGACUCCUACGGGAGGCAGCAGUAGGGAAUAUUGGACAAUGGGCGCAAGCCUGAUCCAGCCAUGCCGCGUGAGUGAAGAAAGCCCUCGGGUUGUAAAGCUCUUUUGUCCGGAAAGAAAGCGCCGGGUUAAUACCCUGGUGUCCUGACGGUACCGAAGAAUAAGCACCGGCUAACUUCGUGCCAGCACG
rnacentral:rRNA from 1 species